rnacentral:lncRNA from 7 species
AUUAUUCCCUGUUUCAACCUCUCCCAGUUCUUCCUUCUCCCUCUGUGCUUCAUUCUUGAAAUGUUCCAUCUUUCAUUCUUCCCUUUCUCUCUACCUUUACUAUUUUCUUUCCGGUCCUUCAUCAUUCUCCUUUAUUUUUUUUCUUUUUUUUCUCAAAAUAUGCUCAUGAUCAUACAAUAAGGAAACUCUGAAUCUAAAGAAUAUCAGCUGGAAGGUUCAUAUCAGUACAAAUUGGAAGGCAGAUGACUGACAGCACUACUUCCAUGUGGCAAAAAGUCUGCAAAUCAACUGUGGAGCAGGUGUUCAGUGGAAUUAAGUGAUUCAGAGUCAUUUACAGUGGCAGAAGCAUCAAUUUGAGAAUUGCUAAAGUAUAUGGAAAGUGUUCCCACAAAGAAGAGGAGGAAGUAUGUUUUCUUAUUGGGGUACAUAGAAAAAGAAGUGAGAAGAUAAACUGCAAGAAAUGAAAUAUAAACAAGACCUUUGUAAGAACUUUCAGAAUACAUAGAGGUCCCAUAUAGCAAUUUUAUGCAUGAUUCUAGCCUUAAAUGUAUCAAAAAUGUAUAAGGGGUAACUCCUAUCUAUCUUUUUUAUAAAUAAUAAAUUCUUCU